UACGGAGGGUGCAAGCAUUAAUCGGAUUUAUUGGGCGUAAAGGGCGCGUAGGCGGACCUGUAAGUCAGAUGUGAAAUCCCGGGGCUCAACCUCGGAACAGCAUUUGAAACUGCAAGUCUAGAGGGUAGGCGGAGAAGACGGAAUUCCACAAGUAGCGGUGAAAUGCGUAGAUAUGUGGAAGAACACCGGUGGCGAAGGCGGUUUUCUAGCUUAAACCUGACGCUAAGGCGCGAAAGCAAGGGGAGCAAACAGG
rnacentral:rRNA from 1 species